rnacentral:rRNA from 1 species
UGGGGAAUAUUUCGCAAUGGGCGAAAGCCUGACGCAGCGACGCCGCGUGAGGGAUGAAGGUUUUCGGAUCGUAAACCUCUGUCAGAAGGGAAGAAACCGCACUGUGCUAAUCAGCAGUGCCUUGACGGUACCUUCAAAGGAAGCACCGGCUAACUCCGUGCCAGCAGCCGCGGUAAUACGGAGGGUGCAAGCGUUAAUCGGAAUUACUGGGCGUAAAGCGCACGUAGGCUGCUUUGUAAGUCAGGGGUGAAAUCCCACGGCUCAACCGUGGAACUGCCUUUGAUACUGCUUAGCUUGAAUCCGGGAGAGGGUGGCGGAAUUCCAGGUGUAGGAGUGAAAUCCGUAGAUAUCUGGAGGAACAUCAGUGGCGAAGGCGGCCACCUGGACCGGUAUUGACGCUGAGGUGCGAAAGCGUGGGGAGCAAACAGG